rnacentral:rRNA from 1 species
GUCGAGGAUCUUGGACAAUGGGCGAAAGCCUGAUCCAGCGACGCCGCGUGAGGGAUGAAGGUCUUCGGAUUGUAAACCUCUGUCACUUGGGAAAAAUGCUUUGAACCUAAUACGUUCAAAGUUGAUGGUACCAGGAGAGGAAGGGACGGCUAACUCUGUGCCAGCAGCCGCGGUAAUACAGAGGUCCCAAGCGUUGUUCGGAUUUACUGGGCUUAAAGGGUGCGCAGGCGGUCAGAUAAGUCGGGUGUGAAAUCCCAAAGCUUAACUUUGGAACUGCGCCCGAAACUGUCUGGCUCGAGGAUUGGAGAGGAGACUGGAAUUCACGGUGUAGCGGUGAAAUGCGUAGAUAUCGUGAGGAACACCAAUGGCGAAGGCAGGUCUCUGGACAAUUCCUGACGCUCAUGCACGAAAGCCAGGGGAGCAAACGGGAUUAGAUACCCGGGUAGUCC